AUACAUGCAGUUGAGCGCUGAGGUUGGUACUUGUACCGACUGGAUGAGCAGCGAACGGGUGAGUAACGCGUGGGGAAUCUGCCUUUGAGCGGGGGACAACAUUUGGAAACGAAUGCUAAUACCGCAUAAAAACUUUAAACACAAGUUUUAAGUUUGAAAGAUGCAAUUGCAUCACUCAAAGAUGAUCCCGCGUUGUAUUAGCUAGUUGGUGAGGUAAAGGCUCACCAAGGCGAUGAUACAUAGCCGACCUGAGAGGGUGAUCGGCCACAUUGGGACUGAGACACGGCCCAAACUCCUACGGGAGGCAGCAGUAGGGAAUCUUCGGCAAUGGACGAAAGUCUGACCGAGCAACGCCGCGUGAGUGAAGAAGGUUUUCGGAUCGUAAAACUCUGUUGGUAGAGAAGAACGUUGGUGAGAGUGGAAAGCUCAUCAAGUGACGGUAACUACCCAGAAAGGGACGGCUAACUACGUGCCAGCAGCCGCGGUAAUACGUAGGUCCCGAGCGUUGUCCGGAUUUAUUGGGCGUAAAGCGAGCGCAGGUGGUUUAUUAAGUCUGGUGUAAAAGGCAGUGGCUCAACCAUUGUAUGCAUUGGAAACUGGUAGACUUGAGUGCAGGAGAGGAGAGUGGAAUUCCAUGUGUAGCGGUGAAAUGCGUAGAUAUAUGGAGGAACACCGGUGGCGAAAGCGGCUCUCUGGCCUGUAACUGACACUGAGGCUCGAAAGCGUGGGGAGCAAACAUGAUUAGAUACCCCUGGUAGUCCACGCCGUAAACGAU
rnacentral:rRNA from 1 species